GGGUCUCUAAAGCUUUGAUUUGCAAUAUUCUAACGAACUGGCAUACUUGCUCUAGUGAACCAAUUUAGGGAACAGGAAUCAAAGUUCUGUUCUUGACAUGUAGGAUUUCAGGUUUCUGGCCUAUUCCAUAUGGACACCUACCAGGAGUAGUUCUGUGAUUCCUGGAUUCUAUGCAACAACCAUACCCUGGAGCCAAGACCACCACCAUGGGCAGUUUCUGAAGAUUUUGGGAAUCAUGUGCAGGAAGGCUAGAAGUAAACACUGGGACCUCUUUAAUUGGAUUCAAAGGAAGUUGAAAGCCACAGUGCGUUGACACUUAUAAAUGAAUAUGGACCCUCUACAAGAACGGUUUGAAACUCUGGAGAUGCCAAAUGAAGUCAGAAAAUACCUGUGAAUUCCAGCAAUCAAAGUGAAGGAAUUUACACGAUUUAAAAGAAGGAUGGCCUGAAAAUUAUGGUGAUUCUCUUGAUUGAAUAAGAUUGUUCUAGGAUUCUCCACAUCAUCAGUCUCCAUAAUUUGCUCUAUACUACUUAGCAGUAGUUGAUGUGAUGUAACAUUUUGACUGUAAGUAAGUAUUAUCUUGUAUCACUUAAAAAUAUGCACUCGAGUUUUCUUCAUGUGCUUAUAGCUCACCUCAUUUUAGUAGUGAAAAAUCAUUCCUAAUUGUUAUACUACAUUGUCUUUAUUCAUUAAUGUAUUAGAAGACAUAUUCAUUGCCUACAAGUUUGCGUAAUGAUGAAUACAGCUACCCUGGAUAACUGUCUAGGUCCUUGAGUGAAAAAGUAUUUGAACUCAUUUGGAUGACUAUAAAGGAGUGUGUUUGCUUCUCAUACUUGAGUGUGUUGGUUUAUCCAGGGAGCUGUGAGAAUGUCUUCUCAUGGGCUUAGCAUUUUAGGUGUUGGUUUAUCCAGGGAGCUGUGAGAAUGUCUUCUCAUGGGCUUAGCAUUUUAGGUGUCCCUGAAAGUCUCCGUGUAUAUGCCCAUUGGAAAAUGUAUAAUCUAGCAGACUAUUGGUGGGUUAUAGUCUCCUGGUUACCAUUAGGUGAGGGUUCUGUCUCUUCCAUGUUCUUCUAGAAUUCUCUUGUUCUGUGUCUCCCUAAGCCAAAAGGAGUAGAUUGAGAUGACAAUACAACCAAAGCUCCUGUGAACCAAGUUCAACUUUCACAAUUACUUAUCACUGGUAUUUUACUACAGCCCUGAAAGGAUACCUGGAAACAUUGUUGUCCUCCUUUUAGGUGCCAACAAUUGCACAUGCAACUAUGGUUAGCUCUUUUUUUCACCAGGGAUAGGUAUUGUUAGUGGUUUUGAUUUUUACUCCCAUUAAUAGGUAUGUAAAAAUAACUCAUUGUUAUUUUAGUUGCAAGUUGUACAUGGUAUUGUAAUUGAAUUUUAAUGAAUAAUUACCAAGAAAUUUAUAUUAGAAUUUGUUUGGUUAAUGUUUAUGUAUUGUAUAUUGAUUCUUAAUGUUUUAUAUCUUAAUCUUUUUUGUGUGUAUGUGUGUGAAAACUAAGGAUUUCAUUAUCAUCCUACAUGCCCUCCUUUGAGUUUCUUGUUACAUGCAUUUGCUUUUCAAGUGAUGUGACUCUAUAGGUUCUCACAUCGUGGUGACUACAAUCAUAAAAUUAUUUUUGUUGCUACUUCAUGACUGUAAUUUUGCUGUUAUUAUGAAUCAUAAUACACAUUUCUGUGUUUUCUGAUGGUCUUAGGUUAUGUGACCCACACUUUAAGAGCUGCUGGUUUAGACAUUUCUAGUUCCAUUUUCCAUUUAAACUAAUCUGGACUGUAUGCUUUAGCAUAUCAGAAUUUUCAACUUCUGUUUAUCAUGGAUUACCACAUUUAUAGGCCUCCAGGAGCAAUCCUAGCCUAUAAAUUGUCCUUAGGUCCCAAGUCCUUGCCUGUUAAGUGAGUGUUCCUGCAUCAGUGAACCUCCUGUUUUAUCUGAUGUCUUGUUCUCAGCUCAAAUAUCAAAGCAGUCCCAGAGGCUAUCAGCUAAGUAUAUCCUCAUAGCUGAAUGACAAGCUUUCUCUCCCUCAAAGGGCCAUGCAAUCUUCACACUUCCAUGGCUGACCUGCAGUAGUUGUCAAUUUCCCCAGGGUCAUGCAGAGAGCUACUGUCUGAUCUUCAGCAUUGUGACAGGAGAAGCACAAUUAUUAAACUACAGAAAUAUAGCAGAUACUGUAACCAUAGCAAACACAUGCUAUUAGGGUGAUAUGAUGAGUUUAAUACAAAAUGGUUGAGUUGAACAAAUUGUUGGCAGGUAAGGUACACUGAGGGAUGGUGUAACCUCCUAAUCCCUCAAAGCAUAAAUACAAAAUUCAUCUGUUCCUGGGGACAGGAGCAAAAUCUGCCUGCUACUCUUUCUUGGCUUAGAGCAAGGAUUUGUUUAAAGAGAAGUCUCAAGAUUCAUAUUGGUGAUAGAUGAUAGGUCAGGACCAGGAGAAAAGAUGGGUUUGGUCCUCUGAGCUGUGAGAUGGCUACAGAUAAUUGAUAAGUGCCCAAUAGAGUUAUAUGAAAUUGGUCAAAGAUGACUAAGAGGAGAAUCGAGUUACUGCCUGGAAUAAUAACCUGGAUUUUUUUGUUCCUCAUUUUACAUAUGUAAAUUCUGUAGAGAGAAUUUUCAUGGGGCAAAACCAAGAUAUGCUUAUGGACUUCUUUUAGGGAAUGUCAUAUUAUCCCUCUGAGAGACAGUCGGGUGAGUUACCUUCUUUCUUCUUCUUUCACUCGAAUUUUCCUUCCUCUCUCCUUCCCUCCUUCCUUGUUUCCUGUCUUCCUUCCUUUACUCUCCUACAUUUCUCUCUUUGCUCAUAAGCUAUUUCUCUCUUCAACAAAUAAUUCAGUCUUUCCCUAUUACCAUGUGGGUAUGAAACGUUCUCAGACAUAAGCUUACAUUCUUAAGUCCUGGGUCUAUAUCUGGUGACGACAGUUCAAAGGAUGCUUGAUGAUGUUGCUACACUUUCACUAAUGGAUUUCUCUAUUAAUAGAUUUCACUUAUUGAGUUCAAUUCUCUCUAAUGUCUCUUGACUUGCCUAUCUAGCUUGCUUUCAAUGUGUAUUGGUAUGGUUUGUCUUGGUCUUCUUCUUUCUGGUCUUCCUUCCAUGAAAAAACAAAAACAAAAAAACCUUACCUUUCUGAUGGCCCCAUAAUCAUGGAGCUAUGAUUUAAAAAUCUGGCCCCAAACAAACCCUAAAUAACAAAUAGCCUGGAGAGCCCAGUGCAGCAACAACCAGCUGAUAUCAGUUGAGUAACAGAAGGAUCCACCUGCAGUUCCUCACUGAAUAAAAAAGUGCUGGGGGUUGAGGGAAGGGAACAAAUGAAACUUUCUAAACCAUGAAAAGUGUGUUGCUGCUUUUUUUUUUUUAAGUUUCUGAUAGGUUGUCUAUAUGGUAGGUUGUAAACUUAGUACAACUUUUUGUUAACUUAACAAACUUGUAUACGGAUAUGUUUCCUCCCCAGUCUGCUGGUAGUUUCCUACCCAUCAUUAAUGAGAGCCACAAGGAGGCUGACUGGGAAAGUGCCCCUUCUCAGAAACCAAUGGGACAAGUUGAGAAUAUUACAAAAAGCCCUGGAACACUGGAAUCCUCUAAAAUCCAACAUGUUUCCCACCCUAGUUUCCAUUUCCUGCAUUAUAUUAUUCCUUUGUCAACAGUGCAUUUCUAGCUUUUUUUUUCUGAUUAAGAUUAUUGACUGUCCAUGAGUUAGUUGAGCAUACAGAACACAUGGUCUACAUUUAAAGCAAAAGACUUUUAAUGUGUGAUUGUCAUGUUUGUUGAACAAGCUUGUAGUUAAAAAUGAAUGUGCAAUAGCCAAGACCAUGGUAAUUUGGAGUUAUUUACUCUAACCCUGAAGAUGUAUCUCAUGAUUUCAUUACACUGAGUAGCUGUCCUCACAUAAUAGUACACUACAUAAGUUUAGUAUAUUGAGAAAUAUAAAUAAGAUGAAUUUGAUUUUCAUACUUUUGAUACUCAUUUGUCCCAACAUUUGUUUUUUUUAAUAGUGAUCACUUUGCCAAUAUUCCUCAGUUUACUACACACAUAACGAUGACAACUUCAAUGAAAGAUGUACUGAAUCUGCUUUUAUAAUACUUAGUUGCAAAAUUUGUUUUCGUAUCUGAUUGAAUUGGCUUAGAUCCUUAGACAAUUUUGAAUAAUGUGCAUUCAGAUUCUUUCUCAACUUUUAUAGUAAGCAAGGUAUUAACAUUUCACUGUUGGCUGCAGCUUGCUGGUGGUACCUUAUAAAUAAAUAUUACAUAUGAUGUGUCGACAUACUUCCUAUUUACAUCAUAUAUAGCUUCUUUUCAAUGUGAGCUGUGCAUAUUUACAUACAUUUUCUUUGCUAUGAUAAAUUACCAUUUUACUACACAGCUAAUAGUGAAUUGAUAAUGUGUCAUUAGGAGUGCUUUACAACUGAGAUUAUGAAUAAAAUUAUACCAAAAGCCCACUGUUAUUUUAUCUUUCAAAAUGUUCAAUACCUAUUAAGAGUAAAUGUUUUGAAAAGAAUGGAAAAUUCAAAAACAGAACAAAAUACAAUGUUUCUACUUUUAUAUAGAUUCCUCACAAAAUAAAAUUAAAAUUGUAAAAACUAUUACAACUAUUUGAGUUCUGUGGACUGUAUCUUGGGUAUACUCUACCUUUUUUGCAACUAAUAUCCACUUAUUAUUGAGCACAUACCAUGCAUGUCCUUUGGGGUCUGAGUUACCUCACUCAGGAUGAUAUUUUCUAGUUCUGUACAUUUGCCUGCAAAACUCAGGAUGUCCUCAUUCUUAAUAGCUCAAUAGUAUUCCUUGAACCACA
rnacentral:lncRNA from 1 species